GACGAACGCUGGCGGCGUGCUUAACACAUGCAAGUCGAACGGAAAGGCCCUGCUUUUGUGGGUUGCUCGAGUGUCGAACGGGUGAGUAACACGUGAGUAACCUGCCCUUGACUUUGGGAUAACUUCAGGAAACUGGGGCUAAUACCGGAUAGGAGCUCCUGCCGCAUGGUGGGGGUUGGAAAGUUUCGGCGGUUGGGGAUGGACUCGCGGCUUAUCAGCUUGUUGGUGGGGUAGUGGCUUACCAAGGCUUUGACGGGUAGCCGGCCUGAGAGGGUGACCGGCCACAUUGGGACUGAGAUACGGCCCAGACUCCUACGGGAGGCAGCAGUGGGGAAUAUUGCACAAUGGGCGGAAGCCUGAUGCAGCAACGCCGCGUGCGGGAUGACGGCCUUCGGGUUGUAAACCGCUUUCGCCUGUGACGAAGCGUGAGUGACGGUAAUGGGUAAAGAAGCACCGGCUAACUACGUG
rnacentral:rRNA from 1 species